GGGGGUGAUCCGGUUUCGACGGGACGAGUUGAAGUCAGAUCGCGCGUCGAGGAUUCUCGUUGGCCUCGUUAAAAAACGGGAAAAAAUGUAAUUGCGAACAACGAUUACGCUCUCGCCGCCUAAAUAACGGCCGCGAUGUCGACCUGGGGACGCCCGAUAGCCAGGAAGGCAUAAUUCAUCGGACCACGCUGCAGGGAGUUCCGCUUGCCCGCUGCAGGGUGCCGAACCAAGCGGGUGGCGAUGGCUUAGCGCGUCUGUCCGCUUGCCGCCGCCGAGACUAAAGGCGGACUACACGCGUAGAAGUUUGGCCGAUGCCGUUUCGGACAGGGGUUCGACUCCCCUCACCUCCACCA
rnacentral:tmRNA from 1 species